GUGCCAGCAGCCGCGGUAAUACCGGCAGCUCAAGUGAUGGCCACUCUUAUUGGGCCUAAAGCGUCCGUAGCUGGCCGCGCAAGUCCGUCGGGAAAUCCAUCAGCCCAACUGAUGGGCGUCCGGCGGAAACUGCACGGCUUGGGACCGGAAAGCUCGAGAGGUACGUCCGGGGUAGGAGUGAAAUCCCGUAAUCCCGGACGGACUACCGAUGGCGAAAGCACUCUGAGAAGACGGCUUCGACAGUGAGGGACGAAAGCUCGGGUCUCAAACCGGAUUAGAUACCCUAGUAGUCC
rnacentral:rRNA from 1 species